rnacentral:rRNA from 1 species
ACACGUCGAUAAUCUGCCCUUUGGAUCAGGAUACCCUCGCGAAAGUGAGGUUAAACCUGAAUAUAAGAAAGGUACUGGAACGUCCUUUCUUUCAAACGAAAGGCCAAAGGAUGAGUCGGCGGCUGAUUAGGUAGUUGGUGAGGUAAUGGCUCACCAAGCCUUGGAUCAGUAAGGGGGAUGAGAGUCCUUACCCUGAGAAGGGCACUUAGAAACUGGCCCUAGCCCUAAGGGGUGCAGCAGGCGCGAAAACUUUACAAUGCGCGAAAGCGUGAUAAGGGAAUUCCAAGUGCUUGGCCUUCGGGUCAAGCUUUUGUCGAGUCUAAGAAUCUCGGCGAAUAAGGGGUGGGUAAGACGGGUGCCAGCCGCCGCGGUAACACCUGCGCCCCAAGUGGAGAGCACAUUUAUUGGGUCUAAAGCGUUCGUAGCCGGAUGAUCAAAUCUCUUGUGAAAUCGUUGCGCUUAACGUAACGUCGUGCAGGAGAGACUGUUCGUCUUGAGACCGGGAAGAGGUAGGGGUACGCGAGGGGAAGCGGUAAAAUGUGAUAAUCCUUCGCGGACCACCAGUGGUGGAGACGCCUAUCUAGAACGGGUCUGACGGUGAGGGACGAAGGCCAGGGGAGCAAAACGGAUUUGAUACCCGAGUAGUCCUGGCAGUAAACUCUGCGAGCUGUGUGUUGCAUCAUCUUAGAGAUGAUGCA